AUGUACAACAUGAGCGUGGAGCGCAUUAGACGAGGAGAGGCAGGGACAGCUGCCUCCCUGACUGUUACCACAGUGCCGGGCCGUGUGCGUGGUGUAAAUGUGGUUAGUGUGUCUGCUCAGAACUUCUCUCUGCGUUGGGAGCAGUCAGAGGGGUGUGUGGACCAGUACCUCGUCAGCCUGCUGCCCAACCAAGGAACUGUCUCUGUCUACCGCACAGUCGACAGACUCAUACAGGCUGACGUAUCCAGUCUGAGUCCUCGAACAGUGUUUACGGUCAUGGUGACCGCCGCCUCCUCCUCCAACCUCAGCCCACCGGUCAGCCGUAUAAUCAACACCAACAAGACUGGUGAGAUGUGUUACAGCUGAAAUGAUAGUGGUCUGCUCUGAGGAAUAAUUGGGUCUGUUCUGCUGCUGCCCUCUGCUGAUAAUGGCUGCUAAUGUUUAUUAUCUCCCACCCUGUGUGUGUGUUUGUAGGUAGGUGUGUGCACGUUUGUGUGUGUGUGUGUGUGGUAACACUAGCCUUGCUAAGUAGAAUGAAUGAUGCUGUAG
rnacentral:lncRNA from 1 species